GACAGGGAGCUUAAGAUGUAUAUAAGCACUAGAAAAAAUCUUCUAACCUUGAGUUGGUCUGGUGAGUUACUCUGACCUUCUCCUUGUAACUGGUUGCAGAAAUAAACUCCCUUCUUUCCCAGUCUGCCUGCAUCUCAUUAUUGGAUCACCAGGACAAGCAGCCAGGCCUCAUUCUGUCCGGGAGCAAAUCUGGUAACUCUCCCAGGAGAGCUCAGCAGCCAGCGGCUCGCAAAGAGGUAGUCUUUGGGUGACCCCCAGCAGCUGCCUGGUAUGGUUUGUCCUGGGGACUCUCCUGAGGACCUUUCUGGCUGCAAAGACUGCCCGUCUCUCUAUUACUGGGAAAGAAUAGAGAUUGGGAGCAGUUGCACUCAAAAGCCCUGCAGCUAGCUGUCCCAAGUAAACAACGCUCUUGGAGUAAAUUGGAAACUCACACAGCAUGGAAACCACAACCUUCUGGACAGACUGAAAGGAUGAAUCAAACACGAAAACAGUGCCAAACUGUGCCAACUAAAAUGGAUUCAGGUACUCAGCAUUGUACUGCUUUGGCCUGGUGAUCAAGUGCUGCUGAAAGAAUAAAGAGAAAUGAGCCCAAGUCAGCAGCUACAGGAGAAAUAGAAAGGGCCCCAUGACAUGCUGCUGACUACCAAUUUGGCAAUGAAACUGGCUGGCAUCAAGCCAUGGAUCCACCACAUGCCCGUGAAGAAGUUCCUGCCGGAGGAAACAUUCAUGACACAGGACACCAAGGCUGCCAAAUGGGAGACAGAACCCCUUGAAGGCCUAGGAUUUCUGUUCAAAAGAUGAUAAAGUAUUGUUUUACAUUGUUACAUUGCUGCUUUACAUUGCUGCUGUUUUACAUUGUUAUUUCUGCGUACCUCUAACCUUUUCCUACAAUGGGCAAAGGUUAUGCAAAUAGCUUACAGCAAGACUCUUGCUGGGUCUGUGCUCUAUUACCCCUCUCUGGCACCAUGGGGCUGCCUUGGUGCAUCCCCCACAUACAAGGAAAAAUUAGGUUUAUAAUAUCUUGAUUUUGUAGAACACCUUCCUGGUGGCAGAAAAUUCUUCUUGUCCUAGCUGCCUUCCUGGGCAUGAGCAUAAUACUAUGUUGUGAACUAUAUUAUUGUUAUAUGCUGUUCCAAAACAUUCCUCAGGCUCACAAGAUCAUGUCUUAUCAGGCGCUGCCUUUGAGUCUCUAAAGCCAGAAACAUUACCAGCACCAGAUAGACAUCUUCCACUCUAGCACCCCUUGAUGACAACCCUCUUCAGCAGGAAGUAGAUGGAGGGAAUGCAUACCCACUUUCCCUUAGUCGGCUAUGUCAUAGUUUACACUUUUGCACUAGCCUUUUAACAAACCAGUACUUGAAAAAAUUAACUAACAUGCUAGAAAUCACGUACAAAUUGACAGUGGGGAUUGUGGCAGGCCAGGUUUCCAUUAGCAACCAGAACAGUCAGUUUUCACUAAUCCUUUACUAUAACUCUGAUGAAUAUAUAAGUUAAACAUUAAAGAACUGGAGAAACUGGUCACUAAGUACAAUGGCUGGAAUGCAAAAACAAACCCAUUAAGACCCCAGACCCUAAUGAUUAGAUACAGAUUGAAAGAAACACUCCUGCUUGUAGGUGCACUCCCACACAUAGGCAGAGAGCUUAAAAUGUGUAUAUGCACUAGAAAAAAUAUUGUAACUGCGUUGGUCUGAUGAGUUACUCUGACCUUCUCCUUGUAACUGGUUGCAAAAAUAAACUUUCUUUUUCCCCA
rnacentral:lncRNA from 1 species